UUACUUAUUCUUGGAAGUUACAUUUAACUAUUAUUAUUAUUUAAAAUGUCCAGGAAUAGCUGUGUUUUGGCUUUAGCUGUCUUUGCUAAGUGUUUAAGAUGAAGCAAGUCAAACUGACUUUUGUUUCUAUCUAUUGUUAACAGUCAGCUGUGUUUCCAUGGGAGUCCUGGGGGAACUUUACAGCAGUUUCUCAGUUCCGCUAGUGCCAUUUGCGCUAGGAUGGGUCCAGGCCUUGCUUGACCAUGUGGCUUCCCUUGGAAGCAUCAGGGAUGUCUCCCUUCUCUGUUGACCCUUCUCUUCAUAGCAAAUGCACUGAUGGCUUUCUGUCCUCCAGUGGUCUCAUUGGCAUAUUCCUGUGCUGUGGCAUUUAUUGCUGCAUCAAUCUGGUUCCAGUACUAAUGAAUUCUUGUUUCUCUUAUAGACCACCCAUCUACUCAAAUGGCCCUCCAGCCUAUUACUUCUCAAUCGGACUUCUAUCAUGGACCCCUCGAUAGACCUGAUUUUUAAAGGGGACUCCAAACUGCUUGCCCAACAUCGUCCCCUUUCAGCCUGAAGAAGCCAGAACGAUCUUUGCCCCCUUUCCUUACAGCAGUAAGGAGUUCCCAAAAUUAGAGGGGGGAAUGAAGCCAGAUUUAAAAUUAGGUAGUCAGUGUAGUUAGGUAAAUCUGGUCUAAUAUCGAGUGAAAUCUAAAUGGAGGCCAAGUUGAGAAUGAAUUUCCAGGAAAGUUGAACAACUCUCCUGGAAUGUUAAUGAAGUCCAGGAAAAAGCCCAAGGCCAAAGUCCAUCCCAAGGAAAUGUUAAUGAACAGCCCCAGCAGAUUUAAAGAUAGCCCAUCCCAAAGAAGUGUUAAUGAAGUCCUUCCCGCCCAGAUUACUUCUUUGGCCCACCUGUGUCCCAACCCUUGGGCCUUCCCACCUACAUUCCAUCACUGAAAACUAUAAAAUGGAGAGACAACCGCACUUCCACGGAUUCCAUCUCUUGGGUCCCCUUCUUCCUCCGGGAGAAGUCUUUUCUGCUGUCAUUUAAUAAACUUCUAAUUUUCCACUCUGA
rnacentral:lncRNA from 1 species